rnacentral:rRNA from 1 species
GACGAACGCUGGCGGCGUGCUUAACACAUGCAAGUCGAACGGUGAAGCGCCUUCCUUUUUGGUGGGUGUGGAUGAGUGGCGAACGGGUGAGUAACACGUGAGUAACCUGCCCCCUUCUUCUGGAUAACCGCAUGAAAGUGUGGCUAAUACGGGAUAUUCUGGUUCUGUCGCAUGAUGGGUCUGGGAAAGUUAUUGUUUCGGUGGGGGAUGGGCUCGCGGCCUUUCAGCUUGUUGUUGGGGUGAUGGCCUACCAAGGCGGUGACGGGUAGCCGGCCUGGGAGGGUGGACGGUCACACUGGGACUGAGACACGGCCCAGACUCCUACGGGAGGCAGCAGUGGGGAAUAUUGCACAAUGGGCGCAAGCCUGAUGCAGCGACGCCGCGUGAGGGAUGGAGGCCUGCGGGUUGUGAACCUCUUUCGCCAGUGAAGCAGGCCUGCCUCGUUUGUGGGUGGGUUGACGGUAGCUGGAUAAGAAGCGCCGGCUAACUACGUG